rnacentral:misc_RNA from 1 species
UACCAGCAAAACACUCCGAUGUUUUAGAGCUAUGCUGUUUUG